CAACUACUCCCUCUGUCCCAAAUUUCUUGUCUUAGAUUUGUCUAGAUACGGAUGUAUCUAAUACUAAAAUGUGACUUGAUACAUCCGUAUCUAGACAAAUCUAAGAGAAGAAUUUUGGGACGGAGGGAGUACUUU
rnacentral:pre_miRNA from 1 species